CGGACAUCAGGAGGUUAGUGCAAUGGCAUAAGCCAGCUUGACUGCGAGCGUGACGGCGCGAGCAGGUGCGAAAGCAGGUCAUAGUGAUCCGGUGGUUCUGAAUGGAAGGGCCAUCGCUCAACGGAUAAAAGGUACUCCGGGGAUAACAGGCUGAUACCGCCCAAGAGUUCAUAUCGACGGCGGUGUUUGGCACCUCGAUGUCGGCUCAUCACAUCCUGGGGCUGAAGUAGGUCCCAAGGGUAUGGCUGUUCGCCAUUUAAAGUGGUACGCGAGCUGGGUUUAGAACGUCGUGAGACAGUUCGGUCCCUAUCUGCCGUGGGCGCUGGAGAAUUGAGGGGGGCUGCUCCUAGUACGAGAGGACCGGAGUGGACGCAUCACUGGUGUUCGGGUUGUCAUGCCAAUGGCACUGCCCGGUAGCUAAAUGCGGAAGAGAUAAGUGCUGAAAGCAUCUAAGCACGAAACUUGCCCCGAGAUGAGUUCUCCCUGACUCCUUGAGAGUCCUGAAGGAACGUUGAAGAUGACGACGUUGAUAGGCCGGGUGUGUAAGCGCAGCGAUGCGUUGAGCUAACCGGUACUAAUGAACCGUGAGGCUUAACCUUACAACGCCGAAGGUGUUU
rnacentral:rRNA from 1 species